rnacentral:tRNA from 2 species
GGCCCCGUGGGGUAGCGGAUAUCCUGUCGGCCUUCGGAACCGACAACCCGGGUUCGAUCCCCGGCGGGGUCACCA